AUUGAACGCUGGCGGCAGGCCUAACACAUGCAAGUCGAACGAGUGGCGGACGGGUGAGUAAUGUCUGGGAAACUGCCUGAUGGAGGGGGAUAACUACUGGAAACGGUAGCUAAUACCGCAUACCAUCGGAUGUGCCCAGAUGGGAUUAGCUGGGAGGUGGGGUAACGGCUCACCUGGGCGACGAUCCAUAGCUGGUCUGAGAGGAUGACCAGCCACACUGUAACUGAGACACGGUCCAGACUCCUACGGGAGGCAGCAGUGGGGAAUAUUGCACAAGGGGCGAAAUCCUGAUGCAGCCAUGCCGCGUGUAUGAAGAAGGCCUUCGGGUUGUAAAGUACUUUCAUCGGGGAGGCGUUACCCGCAGAAGAAGCACCGGCUAACUCCGUGCCAGCAGCCGCGGUAAUAC
rnacentral:rRNA from 1 species